CCUACGGGAGGCAGCAGUGAGGAAUAUUGGUCAAUGGGCGCGAGCCUGAACCAGCCAAGUAGCGUGAAGGAUGACUGCCCUACGGGUUGUAAACUUCUUUUAUAAAGGAAUAAAGUGAGGCACGUGUGCCUUUUUGUAUGUACUUUAUGAAUAAGGAUCGGCUAACUCCGUGCCAGCAGCCGCGGUAAUACGGAGGAUCCGAGCGUUAUCCGGAUUUAUUGGGUUUAAAGGGAGCGUAGAUGGGUUGUUAAGUCAGUUGAGAAAGUUUGCGGCUCAACCGUAACAUUGCAAUUGAUACUGGCAGGCUGGAGUACAGUGGAGGGAGGGGGGAGUCGGGGGGUAGGGGUGAAAUG
rnacentral:rRNA from 1 species